GCGAGAACGAUAGAGACAGUUGAAGGUGGUGGGCUAAUUGUAUUGUUGCUUCGCCAUUUGUCCUCUCUAACCAGUCUCUUCACCAUGACCAUGGAUGUUCACUCCAGGUUUCGUACAGAAUCUCAUUCACAGACUACUGGUCGCUUUAAUGAGCGAUUUAUACUCUCUCUUGCAUCAUGCGAAACAUGUAUUGUCAUGGAUGAUGAAUUAAAUAUUUUACCAAUCUCCUCUCACAUGAGGAGAAUUACUGCUGUACCUGUUCAAGAGGAUUCCGAGGGGCUCUCAGAAGCAGAGAGGGAAUUAAGGAAUUUAAAAGAACAAUUGAAUGAAGACUUCCCUGUCGGUCCCCUCAUUAGGAAAUGCUGUACCUUGGACCAGGGAAAAGCAGUGAUCACGUUUCUUGACGCUAUUCUGGAUAAGACGCUUCGAAGCACUGUUGCUCUUCUUGCUGCUCGUGGCCGGGGGAAGUCAGCUGCUCUUGGGUUGGCAAUUGCAGGGGCUGUUGCUGCAGGGUAUUCCAAUAUUUAUGUAACAGCGCCUAGUCCUGAAAAUCUGAAAACUCUGUUCGACUUUGUCUGUAAGGGUUUCAGUAUGCUCGAGUACAAGGAACAUACUGAUUAUGAUAUUGUGAAAAGCAAUAACCCGGAGUUCAAAAAAUCUAUCGUGAGAAUCAACAUCUAUAAGCAGCACAAACAGACUAUUCAGUAUAUACUACCUCAUGAGCAUGUAAAGCUGUCACAAGUUGAAUUGCUGGUUGUUGAUGAAGCAGCAGCUAUUCCAU
rnacentral:misc_RNA from 1 species